AACGAUGAACCGGUUUCGGCCGGGGAUUAGUGGCGAACGGGUGAGUAACACGUGGGCAAUCUGCCCUGCACUCUGGGACAAGCCCUGGAAACGGGGUCUAAUACCGGAUAUGACACGCUCCCGCAUGGGAUGCGUGUGGAAAGCUCCGGCGGUGCAGGAUGAGCCCGCGGCCUAUCAGCUUGUUGGUGGGGUGAUGGCCUACCAAGGCGACGACGGGUAGCCGGCCUGAGAGGGCGACCGGCCACACUGGGACUGAGACACGGCCCAGACUCCUACGGGAGGCAGCAGUGGGGAAUAUUGCACAAUGGGCGAAAGCCUGAUGCAGCGACGCCGCGUGAGGGAUGACGGCCUUCGGGUUGUAAACCUCUUUCAGCAGGGAAGAAGCGAGAGUGACGGUACCUGCAGAAGAAGCGCCGGCUAACUACGUGCCAGCAGCG
rnacentral:rRNA from 1 species